rnacentral:sRNA from 1 species
UUGGAAGGUGGAGCCCCACUGGGUUGUG